rnacentral:misc_RNA from 1 species
GAUGAAGAACGCAGCGAAAUGCGAUACGUAAUGUGAAUUGCAGAAUUCAGUGAAUCAUCGAAUCUUUGAACGCACAUUGCGCCUGCCAGCACUCUGGCAGGCAUGCCUGUUCGAGCGUCAUUUCAACCAUCAAGCCCUAGGCUUGCGUUGGAGCCCUGCGGCUGCCGCAGGCCCCUAAAAGCAGUGGCGGGCUCGCUAUCACACCGAGUGCAGUAGAUUACUCUUCGCUCAGGGCGUGUGGCGGGUUCCAGCCGUCAAACCCCCUACUUCUCAAGGUUGACCUCGGAUCAGGUAGGAAUACCCGCUGAACUUAAGCAUAUCAAUAAGCGGAGGA